GCAUGAAGGGAUGAAGUGGCAGGAGAAAUGAAGUCUUCCUAACUCUGGCCUCCUGCUGCUACACAAGCCAGGCCAAUGAUGUGGCAAGUCCAAGGGGCACAUGGCUUUUCAGUGUCAUUGUUUGAGGAGGCCAUGAGUGGUUUAGCUGGUGGCCUCUGCUUCUUUUUCUUUUGAGUGCUUCUGAAUACAUGACUGUGCUCUGAAUACAGAGCUACCACUGCGGGGUAAACCAAGCCACAGCUGUCCUCUUCCAAGGUUAGGGUCGCUGCUCAGCAGGAGCUGAUGUGCUACAAGGAAUGAUGAUCUUCUACUGUCUCGUCACUUUCCUAGGGAAAGUCUCCAGGGGAGCGAGCUUUCAAGAUCUGCUGCGGAGUGUGUCCUGCCAGUGCGUGGAAGGCCGUUUGUUUACAAAACUUGGUGAAUACCCAGAUGGCGCUUCCCUGUGCCCUGCAGCUGCUCAACAAGCAAGGAGACUUGCAGGCACCCACAGAACUCAUUCUGUGAAGCCCUUUCUUCUCAGAAGAGUCUUCACUGCUAUUGUGACGUCCUGCUUGCCCCUCCUGUUUUAUUCCAGAGGCACAACGUUAACACAAAAUGUUGGAGAUCAUGACAGCGUUGGGCUCCAAAAACAGGAUUGUUUGUUGUUUUGAAGCCAGUCCCCAAAAUGACUUGAACUUCUAAAGAAGAAGCUGGCAUCCUUUCUAUCAUUUACACAAUCUGAGGUUCAGUGUGUGAGGAUAGGAAUGGGGAUGGGGUGGGUCCACUUCUAUCCAUUAGGGAACUCCAGUAAUAUUGUGGAUUCAAGAAUAUGCCAAUUUUUCCAGGUGGUAGCUUAUUUAACUAUUGUUAGGGAUAACUCAAAGAGCUUUGUAUUGCACCUUUACAAAGUUAUGGAAGGGCUACUAAAUAACAUGUAUGGGAUUAGUAAAUUGCAGAAAUGUUUGCACAGGCAUCAAGAUGCCAAGUAGUAGCAUCUCCAUGGUGACCUCUCUCCAGUAAUGCUUGGUACACAAGCAUAGCUGCAAUGCAAAUUCCCUAGACCCCUCUUCUAACUAGAUGGCCAGCCACUCAUCGCCAGUGUUUCUUACGGUGAGUGAAAAGAGAGUCUCAAGAAGUCUGUGUAUUAAUUGUUACUGCAUAGCGAAUGACCCAAAAUGCAGAAGCUUAAACAACAGUCAUCUUUUAUUAUUUCUCACGGUGUCUGAGAGUCAGGAAUCCAGGUAGGGAACAGCAGGAGUGGCAUGUCUCUGCCCCAUGACUUCUGGGGUCUUCGAGGGAAGACUCAAAGGCAGCGUGUUGAAAUCCUUGGGGGGGGUCAUCACUCUCAUAUCUGCUAGUUGAUGCUGGCUGCUGGUUGGGCCUGAGGCCUUGAGUCAGAACACUGACAUGUGAGUUCUUGAUGUGGCCUGGGCUUCCUCACAACAUGGUGACCCUCCAGAGAAAGAGAGAGAGCCUGGAAGAGCUGUGUGCCUUUCCCUGCCCAGCUUUGGUAGGCUUGCAGCAUUGAGUCCACUGAGCUCCACUGGCUAAGUCAGUUAUAAAGGACUUCUCUGGCUCAAGGGGAGGGAAUGUAGAUACCACCUUUCUUUGGAGAUGAGUCCAAUAAUAUUAAGAGUAUGUGGGAUGGAAAAUGCAUUGGUUCAGCCACCUUUGGAAGAUAGAAUCCGCCAUCGGUACCUUCCCCAAAUACACAGGCUUCCUUGUGGAACUGGGGGAUAUAUUAUAAACUCUAAAUAGCAAAGGCACUUCCUGAAUAAAUACUAAUUGGCUGUCUGUGAGACAUGCAGUGACUCCAGGUCUCCUGUGGGGUGGGACAGCUCAGGAAGUCCAAGGAUUCAGUGAAAGCCCUAGAAGAGCUUGCCAACUGGAAGAGAGGGAAGCUGAUGGCUGGACUCCUCUCCCAGUUAUGCUUUUGGGUAAACAUCUGGAAAGCACAAGGCUUAGCAAGUCAAGAGCCAGCUACAGCAACACCAUAAAAACACCCUGCAGCUGAGUGCACUGGGUGUUUUUGUAAGCGGCAUCCCACCUGGUCCACCAGACAGUGAGCUAACUGAGGUGUGGAUUUUCAUAGAGAUUCAAUGGUAAACAAGAAAGAUGCAUCUCCCACAUCCAAGGAAUAUGUGUUUGGUUGGAAGAGUUGGACAAUAAACGAAACAGAAUAAACAAAGUGACAAACAAACACGCUAGGUAGUGAUGCGCAUUGUGGCAAUCCCAGAACAGGUGAUGGUGGUGACACACAGUGCCCACACCCAGCACAGCAGGGUACACUGUCAUCAGUAAUCGCCUCUCCAGGAAACCAGCGGCACUCAUCAGACUCAGUUACUCAUGGUCUGUGAGUGAAAGAAUUAAAGUCCCUGGAGAGACCCAUCAGGAGCACCAAUGACCAGCAGAUUGCACAGGUCACCUCAGCAGCAAAGCCAAGGCUACAUCUUGGCAUUCCUGGCUGCAGCCCAUUGCUCUCCCCAUCCUGCACAUGACUCCAGACAGUGGCAGCCUAUUCAGCAUCUCAGGGCUGUCAGGAGUGGCAUCUAGGGAGGACCAGGUGCUCUCUCCAUCUGUGGCUUGGAAUGUGUGCUCAGAGUCCCCUGAGAACAGACAAACCCGUGAAGAACCAACUGAGAAAUAUAAUCUUCCUGUCCAUUCAGAUCAGGAAAUAAAUUAAAACAUCUUUCUUUACAUAGUAGAUUUGAACAUGAAAAGCUGAUUGUAAAUACAAUCUUUGUGGAUUAAACUGUAUUUUAAAAGCUCUCUAAAGUCAGGAUUGGCACAAUGUUGAUAGCCAUUGGACAAAGGGUGCGUGAGGGCUCAUUAGACUAUUCUCUUUUGCUUGGUGUGUGCUUGAAAUUUUCUCAAAUAAAAAGUAAGUAAAGAGGUAGAUAAAAUAGCUUUCCUCUGGCAGUACAUUUGUCCCUCUUUCCCUCUCUUUCUCUCUUAAAAUGAGAAUGAUUACUUCCAACAAAUAGUUUUUGUAAAACUAAGUCUUGCAAAAAAUGACUUAUAGUUGUUUCUGUACAUUGGGUUUUUCUGAAGCCAAGCACAGCAUACUGAAGUGAUUUGCAGUAUUAGCCUCGCCUUUAAUUCCUGUGAUAGUUAAGUAAUCAUGAGUAGGCAUGUUUCUACCUACUGCAAAUAAAUUUGUGGGGCAUCAAUAGGAGAUGUGGGAUUGAUGUCAUGAUGAGAGAGACAAGGGAUGAACCUGGAGGUUGUGAGGCUGAGGUUCGCCCCCUUCUCUCUUCCAGCUGGUCUGGGACCCCUGGUCACAUCUCAUUACCUCUCAGGGUCUCGGUUUUCUCCUAAACCAGCUCUGGCUCAUUUCAAGAAUCCUUUCCUUCCAGCACUGUAGAGAGUUCUGGGGGUCAAAACAUGUUGUAAUUCUGAAAUCACCAGGGUCGCGUGAGACGAGGACAGGGAUGAGAGAUUAAAACUCCCCGUCUCCAGGAAUAAGAAAGCAAUACAGUCCCUCAAGGCCAUUAACGAUUUUCAUGAUCCGUAGAUUUCUUACCACUUAAUUCUGUGCUCUCCCUUCUUUAGGCUAAUAUUUUAAACAUUAUGAAAAGGAAACCAAUGAAAAGAUGAGUAAUAGCUUCUGGCUGUUGAGCACAGUUUCACAAUAUUUUUGAAUUUCUCAGAUAACACUGCAUAUUAAUGUCAUUUUCUUCACUGGGAAGAAAGUCAGCAGACCUUCAGCCAAACCAUGACUACUUGGUAACCUGCUGAAAAUUCUAUGUUUGAACUCCUGCCCCAGCUCCACCUUUCACCUUGACUGGUAGGGCGGUCUCUCAGUGGUCUCUCUUCUCAUCCUCUGCCAACAAUGUCAACUAUGGUAUCUCUGGAAGACAGGAGGAAAAAGACCAAAUGCUCACAGUUUGAUGUGCUUAUCAUUCUUUCAGAUAAUGGGAUUGUGAGUUCUUAUUUAUCUUAAAUUUUCUGCAUUUUAACUUUCUUCUUAGUGCUUUCUACAUGCUCCAUGUUUUCUUCAAUGAGCAUGCAUUACUUUAUACUCAAGAAAAGAGCAAUGCACACUGUUUUUUAAAGCCGCUAUUGCUACUCCUCAGACUAAAUCCUUCAUUGGCCCUCCACUGACAUAGCAUAAAAUCCAACGCAUUGGUUUGGCUCCUCCACCCUCAAUGCCUGGCUGGCUACCCUCCUAAUCUCACCUUCGUCACCUCUUCCCUGACCUCUGUCCCUUCCCCUUCCCAUCCUCCUUCCCACCUGUGCUCACCCACACCUGCCAUACCUCAGACACCAAGGAGCCCUCCGUCUGAAUCUACCCCACCCACAGAGGUUUCCCUGACCACUCCCACACUUUCUUUAGGAGCCAUUUCAAGCCUGGCCUCUGCUGGUCCCCAGGGAGCCUCCCCUGCUUCUCCAGGGUUCUGGGGCACCUCGCCUCCCUGACCAUACUCCUAGAACAGGCCACAAACAGCAGCAUGUGGUGUGUUCUCACAGCUGUUCUUCAUUAGACCGGAAGUGCCCUGAGGACAGGCUCAGUGCCAUUACUUCCGUUAAUUUUCUUUUUUCUUUUUUUUUUUUUUUGGUUCUGGUUUUUUCUCUUUGACCCCAGCAAAAUUAUUCAUUGAAUGUUUCCUUGAGUUUUAAGAGGCCUACACAGCAAUUACACAUCACUAGAGUCUUUUUUAUUUCCCAAGAAAAGCCACUUAGAAAUAAAAGUAUGAAGAGUGUUACAUGCCGAGGACUUUCCAAAACACACAGACUUUCUAAUGGUGUUGCCUAAAGCGUGUUGCUCCUGCUUUGCCUGUGCUAGGCUCCUGCUCUGCCUGGAAUGCCUUCCUUUCCUUGUCUACUGGCAAACUCCUGGUCACCCUUCCAAACUCGGUUUUGACACCCAUGCUGCCCUCCCCUGCAGCUCCUUGAGCUAGGAUCUAGAGACGUCCCUCUGGAAGGUGCCUCAGGGUACCCUUUCCUCUCCAGGUGCCGUCGUUUGCAUAUCUAUUUCCCCCAUAAUUCCCUAGAGACGCUGACCAGCCCCUAGAGGUUCUAGUUUAGUGCUUGUGGAAGGAAGGAAUUUCAUGUUAGCAGUCCACAUGCCAGGGAGUGCUUGGUGGAUAUGCAGACAGGAAGUUUAAUAACAGGGAGAUGCAGGGACCUCAGGAGAGCUUUGCAUUUGUUCUCUGCACAGGGCACCCGGCUGGGGAUGAGUGGGAUCUACCACCCCGGGUCUGUCCUCUAGGAUCCCCCAGGGCAGGGCUGCCUGCCUAAGGCAUGACCCUGAUCCACGCCGGUGUCAUGGGGGCUAACAGAGUCAGCCAGCAUCCAUGCAGUGCCCGCCGGCCAUCCUUCCCACAGUAAGCCCCAGAUUCUCUAUUAUUUUUGAAUUCUUCUUCCCAUCAUUCGUCCAGGGUCUUGCCAGUUCUGAGACCAAAGAGUUGCAAAGAAUCACCCUUUAGGAAUGUAAAAUGAUUCUUGUUCCAACAAGGCUCCACUUAAUCAUACACUCUACAAAUUCAGGGAGCUCAUUUGGGUAAAAUACAGUUUUUCCUUUUCAUACGUUUGCUGCUUUCUCCAAACAAACUCGAGGAAAGACUGCAACAUCAGCACUUUGACAAUUUGGAACUGAAAUAGAGAGUCUAGAGUCUG
rnacentral:lncRNA from 1 species